AGUCGAAGGAUCGGCCAGCCGCCUGGAUA
rnacentral:sRNA from 1 species